rnacentral:tRNA from 1 species
GAGGGUACAGCUCAGUGGUAGAGCACAUGCUUAACAUGCAUGAGGUCAUGGGUUCAUGCCACAGUACCUCCA